UUCAAUUACAGGAAAGAAUAUCAUAUCAUGUUACACUUAAAAUCAUAACGGCCUCUGAAAUGCUCGAAGAGCAAAUUAAAAUCAUAUCUCUAAACAAACUUUGUUUAAAUACAACUUUAUUUUGAAUUAUAUUAAAAUACAACUUAGUUUUAUAUUUUCAAUAUUUAGGGUCCUCUAAUAUGGACCAAGUAAAAAGGACCACUAGUGAAUCCUUGAAAUGACAUAUUAUAGCAAAUUAAUUUUUUUUGUUUAUUGUGAAAUUAACAUAAAUGCAAAUGGGAGGGGUUAAAAUUUACAAAGUAUAUUUUGUGGCUUUACUCAAACUACGUUUUCAAAUUGUACAACAGUGCCUUUUUUUUAUAAUUUCUUUUUCAAAAGCUUUUUGAAUUAAAAUAAUUAAAAAAGAAACUACCAUUUCAAUUGUUGUUACCAUUGCACUACAAUGGUUAAACUAUAUGAAUAUGAUUGAUGCAUAUAAUUUAUUUUAUCUCUUUUUAACUUUUUCUUUUACACAUUUUAUUUACCAAUGAACCCCAACCACGAUAAUUUUUGGUCCAAUUUUAUGUAAAAUUAUGACAAUUUUCUAUGUAUCACAAGUCAACAAAAUGUCUCAUCUUUUAAUUAAAAAUGCAUCCAAUAACCCAAUUCUCAAAUUUUCAAAUUAUAUUUCUAUCUCACACUUUGAAAAUUACUCAUAUCAAUACCAACAAUUUUCAACUCAAUCAAAUAAUCCUAAUAUGCCUUAUGGGGUUCAAUUGGAUAGUAGUGGUGUACAAUUAAAUGAUCAAGAGCUUGCAACAUCAUAAUUUUGCACUCAAAGUGACUUAGAAACUAGUAUUAUCCUGGUGAAGAAGUCAGAACUACAUCGGUUAUGAAUAUGUCGAAAAUAAAAUUUCAAUAAAAAAAAGAUAAACUUCUCAUUUAAUCAUGACUCAAUAUUUUAAAGGAUCAAUUGUAAGGAUUGAUAAAAAAAGAAGAUAGUUUUUGAAAGAGAAUUGAUUAAAAUUAUAACAACCACUCUCUCAAAAAAAAAAUUAUAACGACCAUCGCCUCAAGAAUAUAUAUAUAUAUAUAUUUCUUAUAACUUACUUGUGUCGUGUAGUUUUCUUAUAAUGAGGAUACACUAUUUUAGCCAGCAAACCUUCAGCAACUAUAGAGUAUAGACAUCGUAAAUGGUCUACACAUAUAGGAAUAUGCUUCAUAUAUUCAUAGCCACGACAUUCCUACUUCAUUGGUUCCUUGUUUGGCCAACAUUCUGGUUCCUAUUAUCUUCUAACCAAUGGUGAGUUUAUGCAUUAAUAGAAUAAGCUAAUAACAAAAGGUUUGCUUCAAUUUGUAUACAAAAAGUUCCACUUAAC
rnacentral:lncRNA from 1 species